rnacentral:rRNA from 1 species
CCUACGGGAGGCAGCAGUGAGGAAUAUUGGUCAAUGGGCGGAAGCCUGAACCAGCCAAGUAGCGUGCAGGAUGACGGCCCUAUGGGUUGUAAACUGCUUUUAUCCGGGAAUAACGUGACUUACGUGUGGGGCUUUGCAUGUACCUUAUGAAUAAGGAUCGGCUAAAUCCGUGCCAGCAGCCGCGGUAAUACGGAGGGUCCGGGCGUUAUCCGGAUUUAUUGGGUUUAAAGGGUGCGUAGGCGGCGUGUCAAGUGCGCUGUGAAAUGUCCGGGCUCAACCCGGGCCUUGCAGGGGGAACUGGCGGGCUUGAGUCCGCGAGAAGCAGGCGGAAUGCGUGGUGUAGCGGUGAAAUGCUUAGAUAUGACGAAGAACCACGAUUGCGAAGGCAGCUUGCUGGAGCGCAACUGACGCUGAUGCACGAAAGCGCGGGUAUCGAACAGGAUUAGAUACCCUAGUAGUC